rnacentral:rRNA from 1 species
UACGGAGGGUGCAAGCGUUGUCCGGAUUUAUUGGGUUUAAAGGGUGCGUAGGCGGCCCGGUAAGUCAGUGGUGAAAGCCUCCAGCUCAACUGGAGAACUGCCAUUGAUACUGCCGGGCUUGAGUACAGACGAGGUUGGCGGAAUUGAUUGUUUAGCGGUGAAAUGCAUAGAUACAAUCAAGAACUCCGAUUGCGUAGGCAGCUAACUAGGCUGUAACUGACGCUGAGGCACGAAAGCGUGGGGAGCAAACAGG